AUGCAUUUGUAUUUGUCUGUCUUGUUUGUAUCACUACAAUGGGCUGCCACUAUAUGCCUUCAGGUAAACCAAAACCCAAAGGAGAUCAUUCUUCUACAAGGUGGACCAAUGAAGGUCUCCUGCGUCAUUACAGGCACUGAUAACCCAAACCUGUUCUGGUACCGUUGGACCCAACAAGAUAGCUUCAAGCUGGUGUUCACUUCGUUGGGUAAAGACAUAAUGGACCCAAAAAGCGAGGGGGAUUUUAUGUCCAACAGGCCAGAGUCUCUGCAGAUAUUUCUGGAAUCCAAAAAUGUGACCCAGAGUGGUUCUGCUGUUUGGUACUGUGCAGCCAGUCCCCACAGUAAACUAGACGAAUCUGAAUGCUGCACAAAAACCCUAACGGUUGAAAACACCUUUCUGAGUUAAUAUGGAAGCUCAAAUGUAAUAUCCGAGGUCUUGUCUGUCUCAAACUGCAAUAAACUGAGUAAUGCCCUGAUUUUCCCCAGAUAUUAUUUGCAGAAUGUUUUAUAUAAACAUA